rnacentral:rRNA from 1 species
AGUGAACGCUGGCAGUAGGCCUAACACAUGCAAGUCGAACGGCAGCACAGGAGAGCUUGCUCUCUGGGUGGCGAGUGGCGGACGGGUGAGGAAUACAUCGGAAUCUACUCUGUCGCGGGGGAUAACGUAGGGAAACUUACGCUAAUACCGCAUACGACCUACGGGUGAAAGCAGGGGACCUUCGGGCCUUGCGCGAUUGAAUGAGCCGAUGUCGGAUUAGCUAGUUGGCGGGGUAAAGGCCCACCAAGGCGACGAUCCGUAGCUGGUCUGAGAGGAGGAUCAGCCACACUGGAACUGAGACACGGUCCAGACUCCUACGGGAGGCAGCAGUGGGGAGUAUUGGACAAUGGGCGCAAGCCUGAUUCAGCCAUACCGCGUGGGUGAAGAAGGCCUUCGGGUUGUAAAGCCCUUUUGUUGGGAAAGAAAUCCAGCUGGCUAAUACCCGGUUGGGAUGACGGUACCCAAAGAAUAAGCACCGGCUAACUUCGUGCCAGCAGCCGCAGUAA